UGUUAACUUCUUCCUUAACCUUUGCCCAUAGGUAAGACCUGACCACCUUGAAAGAGCAAACUGGCCCAUUCUUGGUACUCUCCAAAUAAACAGGUUCUCCUGGCAUGGGAGACAGUCCCAGAGAGGCAAGCCCUAAUUAGAAGAGCCAUAUGAGCAGCUUCUGUCCUUUGGCGAAUUUUGUGUUUUCUGCCUCUCCCAGUUUCUCGAGAAUUGAUCAACAGGGCUCACACAGAGACCUCUGACUGACAUGGAGUUUCUCUCAAAAUGACACCUGUGUGAGCUAUCGGAAAGCAAGCUCAUGGACUUACUUAAUUCUCAUAACCACAGGAACAAAACCGAGGAGGAACUUCCUGAUUUUUGCCUGCAGCACAUAAAUAAGUGAAGAGGCACUGCUGUUGCUUCCCCAGGCUGCAGAAGGUCUCUGAGCUGUUCUUCUAGACUUCCCCAGUUCUUGUUCUAGACUGUGUGGAGCAGGCCUCUUAUGAAGAAGGAAUGCAGGAAUAUUGCCUCUCCAUAAGCACCAGCACAUGUGAGCCUUUUCACCGUUUAGGUGAGUGUAGGUUUGUAUUCACACAAUCUCACAAAAGAGUGGGCAAACUUGCUGUAAAGAUCUGCAUGCCUCAGUGUUUGUCAGAACCCGUUAAUAAAUAGUAGUCGUAGACAGCAGUUGGGACAAGUGGAAAAUACUUCACACUGACGUACGGUAGUCAGAAUCAUAGAUGAAUGAAUGAA